rnacentral:rRNA from 1 species
CCUGCGGAAGGAUCAUUAAAAGGAAUUGGUUAUACAUUUCAUGUAUCAACUGUUUAAACCCAUUCUGUGUACCUUGCCUGUUGCUUCCAUGGAGCCUGACUUUGGUCACUCUUGUGAUGUAAAUCCCAAGGGAGUCCCCAUGGAAGGUCAUCAAUAAAACUCAUGUAUCCAAUGUCUUCUGUCUGAACUGUUUAUAACAAUUGUUAAAACUUUCAACAACGGAUCUCUUGGUUCUCGCAUCGAUGAAGAACGCAGCGAAAUGCGAUAAGUAGUGUGAAUUGCAGAAUUCAGUGAAUCAUCGAAUCUUUGAACGCACAUUGCGCCUCCUGGUAUUCCGGGAGGCAUGCCUGUUCGAGCGUCAUUAAAUACCUCUCAAGCACCAUUUCUUGGUCAUGGAAGAUGAGUAUGCUUGCAUUCUCCCUUCUGAAAUUCAAAGGCGGAUCAUCUCAUAUUCCCUGGCGUAGUAAGUGUUUAUCUUUCGCUUGGAGUGUCUGACAGUCUUGCCAUCGACCCCCA